rnacentral:rRNA from 1 species
GACAGAGGGUGCAAACGUUGCUCGGAACUACUGGGCGUAAAGCGCGUGUAGGCGGUUCCGCAAGUCAGGUGUGAAAGCCCCGGGCUCAACCCGGGAAGUGCACUUGAAACUGGGAGGCUAGAGUAUCGGAGAGGUUGGUGGAAUUCUCGGUGUAGAGGUGAAAUUCGUAGAUAUCGAGAGGAACACCAGUGGCGAAGGCGAUCACCUGGGGUUGUUCUGACGCUGAGGAGCGAAAGCUAGGGGAGCAAAGCGGG